rnacentral:rRNA from 1 species
UACGGAGGGUGCGAAAGUUAAUCGGAAUUACUGGGCGUAAAGCGUCCGUAGGCGGCUUGUUAAGUCUGAUGAGAAAGCCCUGUGCUUAACCUGGGAACGGCAUUGGAAACUGGCGAGCUAGAGUUCGGUAGAUGGUGGUGGAAGUCCCGGUGUAGCGGUGAAAUGCGUAGAGUUCGGGAGGAACACCGGUGGCGAAGGCGGCCUCCUGGACCGAGGCUGACGCUGAGGGACGAAAGCGUGGGGAGCAAACAGG